UCAGUGUAGUAGAUAUUAUGAGUUAUGUCUAGUCCAGUCUACCUCCUCCAGUCAGUGUAGUAGAUAUUAUGAUAGUUAUGUCUGGUCCAGUCUACCUCCUCCAGUCAGUGUAGUAGAUAUUAUGAUAGUUAUGUCUAGUCCAGUCUACCUCCUCCAGUCAGUGUAGUAGAUAUUAUGAUAGUUAUGUCUGGUCCAGUCUACCCCUCCAGUCAGUGUAGUAGAUAUUAUGAUAGUUAUCUAGUCCAGUCUACCUCCUCCAGUCAGUGUAGUAGAUGUUCUUCCCCAUGGGAGGUGAUUCCAAAUGGGUACUGGAUCGCCCCCAUGGCCUUCCUCCUGUCUCCCUGCACGGGUUCAUACACUCGAUCAUGUGGGUUCCUGGAGGCAGAGAAAUAUUAUUAUAUCUAACUCUAACCCUGGGUUCAUACAGCCCAUCAUGUUGUCCUGAGGACUAGAUAAUACAUUAUAUAUCUAACCUAACCUGGGUUCCAUACCCCCAUCGAUUGUCCUGAGAUAGAUAAACUAUUUAUAUACUAACUCAACCCUGGGUUCAUACAGCCCAUCAUGUUGUCCUGGAACUAGAUAUACAUAUUAUAUAUCUAACUCUAACCCUGGGUUCAUACAGCCCACAUGUUGUCCGGAGGACUAGAUAAUACAUAUUAUUAUAUCUAACUCAACCCUGGGUUCCAGCCCAAUCAGGUUGUCGCGAGGACUAGAUAAUAAUAUUAUA
rnacentral:lncRNA from 1 species